AUUGAACGCUGGCGGCAUGCCUUACACAUGCAAGUCGAACGGCAGCACGGGAGCAAUCCUGGUGGCGAGUGGCGAACGGGUGAGUAAUGUAUCGGAACGUGCCCAGUCGUGGGGGAUAACGCAGCGAAAGCUGUGCUAAUACCGCAUACGAUCUAUGGACGAAAGCGGGGGAUCGCAAGACCUCGCGCGAUUGGAGCGGCCGAUAUCAGAUUAGGUAGUUGGUGGGGUAAAGGCCUACCAAGCCUGCGAUCUGUAGCUGGUCUGAGAGGACGACCAGUCACACUGGAACUGAGACACGGUCCAGACUCCUACGGGAGGCAGCAGUGGGGAAUUUUGGACAAUGGGCGCAAGCCUGAUCCAGCAAUGCCGCGUGCAGGAUGAAGGCCUUCGGGUUGUAAACUGCUUUUGUACGGAGCGAAACGGCUCUCACUAAUACUGGGGGCUAAUGACGGUACCGUAAGAAUAAGCACCGGCUAACUACGUGCCAGCAGCCGCAGUAA
rnacentral:rRNA from 1 species